UCAGUCAAAAUAAGAUGACUCGAACAAUUAAUUUCCGAUUUUGCCUCUAACGGCAAGUCUCUUGUCUGUCCAAUAUCUCUUCCUGAUCUCUCUGCAAUACUGUGUCUCCCUCUCUCUCCAUGACACAACGACAACGAUCUCCACCACCACUGCUACCUCAGACCCACCCCGACCCCGACCAACGAAAAGCUUGGCUCCACUGACCUUAAUUCAAUCUUCCAGUCUUUGGUGUCUUGCUGUUUCAUUUGAGCCCAUGCCACUCAUUUUCGUCUGAAUCUGCGAGAGAGGAAGAAGAACCGCGUCUGAAUCCUCCUCUUCCGUGCUCUGUCGCCCCAACCGUCACCACCUUCGCCGUCUCACCCGCUCUCAAUCAUCAUCAGGUACUACUCUCACUCAUUUCCUCAUUGUCUCCGUCCAUUGACGUCGAGCAGAACUGCAUCAGCGUCUACAACAACGUCGCUGGAGUUCCUGUCGAGAUUCACCAGGAGGAGAGGGUCUAUGUACAUCUCCUGGCUAGUAGCAAUUACUAUGAUACGGUGAAGAAGACCACCGGUGGACGCAACGGCUACGGCCCCAAGGGUACGAACAUCUUCUCCACCGAGUUCGUCAUCGAGACGACGGACGUGAUUUAUUGAGGAUUACUAUGACUAAUUUUUCUAUGGGGUUGAAAUGGAUUUCCGAAUUCCGAUUGACCAAAUAUUGCAGCAGGAUGUAUACAUGUAUCUACCUAUAUGGGUUUGAAAUGGAUUUCCAAUCGAUGAGAGUUGAUGUAUACAUGUACUCUACCUAUAAAAUUCACAUUCUUUCCCAAAUGCUCUUCAGUUCACAACAUUCACUAGCAUGCUUGUGUAAGUUUUUAUAAAAUGAUUGCAGUGAUGAUAGUUUAGAAUGGUUACUUGGAUAAUUUUUUUGAAAAUUUCUGUUGUGAUAUUUUUGUAGUCUGUUGUUUAAUGAAAUCUGCAUAGUUUGUCCAGUUGGGUUUUGUGUACAGACAAACCGAUGAAUGCUCAAAACUGUAGGAUAAAUCUUAGAAGAACAACUUGAAACGGGUCAACAAACUCGUGUAAAAAGUUUGCCUAUGGGAAGUCCCGAAGACUCACAAGUUUUUUCGCGUGCUUGACUCUAGUUCAUAUAAGUUUCUCCUCGAUAGUUAAUGGUUGUCAUUUGUAUGAUAUUUUCCUCACUUUUCAUAGGUGAAAGUGGAAGAUGCAUCUCUUCUUGCAUUAGAACACGAAGGCCGUCGAGCAUCGCUAGCAGAACCUAAAGUCGACAUGUUACGGUAGAUGGUCUCUUGCGUUUCGGCGAGGGGAAUGCAGGAAUAUGCUUGAACAUUGAAGAUUUCUUGUAGAUAUGGCUUUGGGCUCGCCUGCUUUUCUCUGGGAACAACUUACAAGAGAACAAUAACUUGGACUCGGACUCACGCGUGUUAGAGGCAAGUGAAUUUUACAGGUUGUAAAUUGAAAAACUCAUCGAUUGGUCAUUCUGCGUUGAAUAAUGUAAGUGUUUGUUUCCUUGUUUAACAAUGAAUUGGCAAUUUAACUGUUGUUCCUCACAGUCGGCUUCCUCUAAACCUCAAUUGGGAGCUACUGUUCUAAGUAUCUCACUAAAUGAUAGAAAGGUAUGAAGUUGGGCUGACAUCUGUUCUCUCAGUGAUACAUGGGUUGAUUUAGUAAUCUAGUUUUAAUUCUUCUUGUUCGGGCGAAGAUUUCUCUGGAGAAGGAUCUUUGAACCUCAGCACAGCUUCCCAAGGGAUUGGCACUUUGGAUGUGUAGUCGGGCUCUUGCUUGUUGAUGUGCUACAAGAAGAGGACAGAAUUAGUUCUGAAAGGUGUCUUUGUGGGGCCUUAGGUGUAGGCCUUGAGGCUCGCAAUCAAAACUAAGUGAGAGUUAGGUGUGUCACUACUAUCUCAGUAUAGCAAAUGUAGAACAAGCGUGUUUUUAGUCGAUUACUUGUGCCCCAAGUUACUCGGACUUCUUGUUAUCAAAGAAUUGUCGUGGAUGGAUUAAGUCCAUAUUAAGUUCUUUUUCUUGCCUUGUAAACAAGGACUUUUAGUUCAUGGUCGUCUUGUAUGUUCGAAUGAAGGGAGUUCAGAUCCCCUUAAGUCAUUUAUUUGGUUC